GCCUGGAUAGCUCAGUUGGUUAGAGUGUGGUGCUGAUAACGCCAAGGUUGAGGGUUCGAGUCCCUUAUGGGACA